GUUUUUCUCUCAACUCACAACUUGCCUUAUUCACACAUCGCCUGUCCUAACUGACUCCUGCAUCCACAGUUCUUUGGGCUUUUGUCCAUGGGUUCUCCCUCUCCAUCAAACAUUGAAGAUACUUUGGAAUCUGAGAUGGAUAUGGCCAAUGCUGUGGCUUUGGUGUAUUUGCUGCCUGAAGAAGCCAAUGAAUUUCUUCUGAGAUGCUCCUGAUGCAAGAGGAACAACGGUGUGCCAAGAUAUCAAAAGGAACGUUCUUUGAGUGGGUAAGUUUUCCAUUUAAUUAUUCAUUGAUUAUAAACACUGG